AGGUGAGACUUAAUCCUGCCUCUUGGGGUCAAGGGUACAAUCAAAUGAGAUUUAACAGGGAUGGAUCAACAGAUGGUCAAAUAGGGAUCGAUGAUAUUGUACCUGGAGGUGUGGUAGCAAGGAACCUAGGGAGUGAGACACCGGGGCAUGAAACCUAAUGGCCCUGUGAGAGAAAGGGGUUAGACACAGGCCACCUCCUAUAGGUAAGCACAGGAAACUGGCUUCAUCCAAACAGGGACAAAAAAAAAAGGGAAAUAUGAUAAAUUAAAUUUGUAUUUAAAACAAACAGUUCUUAUUAAUUUAAAUGUCUUCUUAUGCUAACAGUAUGGUGUGGGAAGAUGUUCUUUCAAAUAGGCAAUGUCAGUACUUGGGCACUGAUUCCACCCAGCAGGGGGCGCUAUUUGUUGCCUAACCUGUGAGUCAGAAAAUGCCAGAAGGACGAAAUAAAUCGGUGUAAGUAAUUGUAACAGAAGCUAAAGGAUGCUAAUAGCAGGCAACACAUUAACACCAUGAAGCUCACCCUCCAACUCCAAAUGAAUGCUAAUGUUGCUCAGUAUUUGUUAGACGUGUGUAUGAGCAACUGUUGCUAACAAGUUCGUCGUGUCUAAAACCCUAGCCAUUUCACAUAAUCAAUUCCUAAAUGGUAACACCUGUGACAGCGACUCUUUGGCCCGCGCGCGAUGUUCCACGUCGCUGGCCGGGAUGGACGUAUUCACUGCUGGGAUGCCUGGGAACGGGCUUUACUGAACCAGGUAAAGACCAGAAGAGCUCAUAAUGUCUACAUGAGGUGUACAACAAACAAAAGCCUCAAGUUGGUGGUGAGUUUGCUGCAGGGUGGCAUAUAGGAAACAGUUUGCCAGUAGGAAUAACCAUAAUCAAGUCCCUCAUGCUGCAAAACAUCACAACCUUCUCAACACCCUUGAGCAAGAAUCCCUACUAGACUGACCUCUGAUCCCCCCCCCCCCCCCCCCC
rnacentral:lncRNA from 1 species